GACGAACGCUGGCGGCGUGCUUAACACAUGCAAGUCGAACGGAAAGGCCCCUUUGGGGGUCCUCGAGUGGCGAACGGGUGAGUAACACGUGAGUAACCUGCCCUUGACUUCGGGAUAACUUCAGGAAACUGGGGCUAAUACCAGAUAGGAAUCCUUGCUGCAUGGUGGGGGUUGGAAAGCUUCGGCGGUUUUGGAUGGACUCGCGGCUUAUCAGCUUGUUGGUGGGGUAGUGGCUUACCAAGGCUUUGACGGGUAGCCGGCCUGCGAGGGCGACCGGCCACAUUGAGACUGAGGUGCGGCCCAGGCUCCUACGGGAGGCAGCAGUGGGGAAGAUUGCACAAGGGGCGGAAGCCUGAUGCAGCAACGCCGCGUGCGGGAUGACGGCCUUCGGGUUGUAAACCGCUUUCAGCAGGGGCGAAGCUUGUGGUGACGGUACCUGCAGAAGAAGCACCGGCUAACUACGUG
rnacentral:rRNA from 1 species